GACGGGAUAGGGGUCAGCCCGGUCGCUUUUUUGCAAGGCGAUGUUGUAGCAAUGUCUGGCCAGGGCUUGGUCUCCCCGGACCUCUCCGAUCCCCUGGUUGGUGGGGAACUUCAAUUUCAAAUGGUAGGUUGAAACGACAGCUCUGAGAGCAUUGAGGCCGGGUCGACCAAGGAUUGCAUUGUAAGCGGAUGGCGCCUUUACCACCAAGAAAUUCACCAGAGCCCUGGACUGCUUUGGAUGCUGACCCGCGGCCACAGUCAGAGCUAUCAUUCCCUCCGUCGGAACGACGUCACCGGUAAACCCUAUCAAGGGGGAGCAAAUCGGUCUCAGAUGACCGCCAAGAGCGGACAUCCUUGA
rnacentral:lncRNA from 1 species